UAAAGUAUAAAAUUAAAGAAAUUUAUUACCAUGGAUAAAUGAUGAAUGUAAGAAAUGGAUGAGAGACAGAGAUGAGCAACUAAAAAAAUAUAUCAAAUCCUGUCUCAUCACAGACAGGAAUAAAUUUACCUCACUAAGAAAUAAGGUUACUUAAAUUAUGCUAAAGGUUAAAGCAACUUUUUUCAUGAAUAUCAUUUCUGAAGCAAAUGGAAAUUCCAAAAAGAUCUGGCAAAAAAUAAAUAAAUUAACGGGGAAGGAUAAAAAAGCAAAACAAGAAAUUGAGCUAAAAAUGAACAAUAUUGCUGUGACUGGUCCAGAUCUAUUGACAAAUGAAUUUAAUAAUUAUUUCCUCAAUUCUGUGAGGGAAAUAAGUGAAUUAUUUCCAUCUCCUGAUCUCAAACCAAGGUCCAUUGAUCUCACACAGCCUGUUUUUAAUUUAUGUGAAAUAACAGGGCUGGAAGUGUCCAAAA